rnacentral:snRNA from 1 species
CUAUUGACUUUAAAAGAAGUUCUAAGUUCAGAUUCAAAAGUCUGCCCCACUCUAGGCCUCAGGUGCCUCCUCUAUAAACUAAAGGAGUUUAGCUUAUCCAUUGCACCCCACGUGCACUGACCCCGGCAAUUUUCCCACAUGUGGGAAACUAGAUUGCAUAAUUUGUGGUAGUGGGGGACUGUGAUCCCACUUUGCCUUG